rnacentral:rRNA from 1 species
GGAUGCGAUCAUACCAGCACUAACGCAUCGGAUCCCAUCAGAACUCCGAAGCGAAGCGUGCUUGGGCGCGAGAGAAGUACUAGGAUGGGUGACCCCCUGGGAAGUCCUCGUGUUACAUCCC